CACGCGAGAGGUAGUGUGUCUCCAUAGACAGCGUGUACUCAUUUCACAGUCACAAACUAAGAGUCUUAUAAGUUAGCCCUCUAGAAGUCCCCUAGGAUCUCCCUCCGCUUCUCGUGCGACUCGGGCUUUAAUGGGGUCUUGUAAGUUAGCUCCGCCUCCAAGUCGUCGAGAUUUUGCUCGUCAAGUUAUAGAUCGAGGGUCUUAUAAGUUAGCCCUCUAGAGGUCCCUUAGGGUCUCUCUCCACUUCUCGUGCAAUUCG
rnacentral:lncRNA from 1 species